UACGAAGGGGGCUAGCGUUGCUCGGAAUCACUGGGCGUAAAGGGUGCGUAGGCGGGUCUUUUAAGUCAGGGGUGAAAUCCUGGAGCUCAACUCCAGAACUGCCUUUGAUACUGAAGAUCUUGAGUUCGGGAGAGGUGAGUGGAACUGCGAGUGUAGAGGUGAAAUUCGUAGAUAUUCGCAAGAACACCAGUGGCGAAGGCGGCUCACUGGCCCGAUACUGACGCUGAGGUGCGAAAGCGUGGGAAGCAAACAGG
rnacentral:rRNA from 1 species